AACGAACGCUGGCGGCAUGCCUAACACAUGCAAGUCGAACGAGACCUUCGGGUAUAGUGGCGCACGGGUGCGUAACGCGUCGGAACCUGCGAUUAGGUUCGGACUAACUCCCAGAAAGGGGUGCAAAUACGGGAUAAAGUCUUAGACCCAAAGAAUUAUCGCCUUUGGAGGUGCCCGCGUUGGAUUUGCUAGUUGGUAGGGUAAAAGCCUACCAAGGCGACGAUCCAUAGCUGGUCUGAGAGGAUGAUCAGCCACACUGGGACUGAGACACGGCGCAGACUCCUGCGGGAGGCAGCAGUGGGGAAUGUUGGACGAUGGGCGAAAGCCUGAUCCAGCAAUGCCGCAUGAGUGAUGAAGGCCUGAGGGUUGUAAAGCUCUUUUACCCGGGAUGAUAAUGACAGUACCUGGAGAAUAAGCGCCGGCUAACUCCGUG
rnacentral:rRNA from 1 species